rnacentral:tRNA from 2 species
GGGCGAUUAGCUCAGGGGUAGAGCGCUGUCUUCACACGGCAGAAGCCACUGGUUCAAAUCCAGUAUCGCCCACCA